rnacentral:rRNA from 1 species
ANAAUUACGGGUACGGGGAUUAGGGUUCGAUUCCGGAGAGGGAGCCUGAGAAACGGCUACCACAUCCAAGGAAGGCAGCAGGCGCGCAAAUUACCCAAUCCCGACACGGGGAGGUAGUGACAAUAAAUAACAAUACAGGGCUCUUUAGGGUCUUGUAAUUGGAAUGAGUACAAUUUAAAUCCCUUAACGAGGAACAAUUGGAGGGCAAGUCUGGUGCCAGCAGCCGCGGUAAUUCCAGCUCCAAUAGCGUAUAUUAAAGUUGUUGCAGUUAAAAAGCUCGUAGUUGAAUUUCGGGGUUCUACCGUUGGUCGGGCUUUGUCUGUACUGGCGUGUAGAAUUUCUACCUUCUGGGGAACCAUUAUGUUAUUAAUUUAGCGUGGUGGGAAACCAGGACCUUUACCUUGAAAAAAUUAGAGUGUUCAAAGCAGGCUUAUGUCUGAAUACAUUAGCAUGGAAUAAUAGAAUAGGACGGUGGUCCUGUUUUGUUGGUUUCUGAAUCACCGUAAUGAUUAAUAGGGAUAGUUGGGGGCAUUAGUAUUCAAUUGUCAGAGGUGAAAUUCUUGGAUUUAUUGAAGACUAACUUCUGCGAAAGCAUUUGCCAAGGAUGUUUUCAUUAAUCAAGAACGAAAGUUAGGGGAUCGAAGACGAUCAGAUACCGUCGUAGUCUUAACCAUAAACUAUGCCGACUAGGGAUCGGACGAUGUUAACUUUUCUUGACUCGUUCGGCGCCUUACGGGAAACAAA